UACGAAGGGGGCUAGCGUUGUUCGGAAUCACUGGGCGUAAAGCGCACGUAGGCGGAUCGUUAAGUCGGGGGUGAAAUCCCAGAGCUCAACUCUGGAACUGCCUUCGAUACUGGCGAUCUUCGAGUCCGGGAGAGGUGAGUGGAACUCCGAGUGUAGAGGUGAAAUUCGUAGAUAUUCGCAAGAACACCAGUGGCGAAGGCGGCCAACUGGUCCGAUACUGACGCUGAGGCG
rnacentral:rRNA from 1 species